GUGUAGCACAAAGUUACCAGAUAGGGUAGACUUGUUGAGCCACAGUUAUGUUCUUGCUUGUUAGUUGUUUUUUGCCCUGGUGGCUUCCACACUGGGGUGUGGAGUGCCUACUAUUAAGCCCAAGGUGAGUGGAUACAACAAGAUUAUUAAUGGCGAGAAUGCAGUGUCCGGUUCCUGGCCCUGGCAAGUUUCUCUUCAGGACAAAAGCGGGUUUCACUUCUGUGGGGGAUCACUGAUCAACAAGGACUGGGUUGUCACAGCUGCUCAUUGCCAAGUGUGGCCGUCAGACCC